rnacentral:rRNA from 1 species
AUGCAAAAGACUCUUCGAGCUAAAUGUAGAAAUAAACGUAGAAUUGAAGCAUCCAUAGCCGAGGCAUUCUUGGCGGAGGAGAUGCCAAACUUCAGCACAUCACGCUAUGCGGCCAAUAUUCCAAGCUUGCAUAAUGCAAAGUCCCGUUACAAUACUGGCGACCCCAGGCAUGAAUCCAAGCUCAGCCUUUUCAAAGGCCAACUCGCACCCGUGGGUGCUUCUGGUUCAAAGAUAUUGGAUCCAAAAGAGUGGAGAUCUCUUACGUUGUAUAUCCUCACCAACCUAAAAGAAGUGCGGCCGUAUAUUGAUGAAUUCGUUGCCCAAUUCUCUGAUGGAGGGGUCGAACCUGAUUCACUUGAAGAGUAUGAGCUUCUUGUUGGUGAAGGAGACGACAAUUACGGUUUCAUUUCUUGGUUCAGAGCAAAGGGUGCGUCAAUAUUGGACAAAGAAUUGAAACAAGUUGCUAAUGGGUUUGACUAUAAGGUCGGUACGUUCGAUAAUUACGACAUCAAUGGGUAUCGCUUCCGCACACAUGGGAACGAGGAACGUCGGGCCGUUCUAAAAACAAGAAACACCGGAGUGUCGGCUAUUUGCAAUGGAGUUGAGUAUUAUGGAAGAGUUGAUGAAAUAUAUGAACUGCAUUACUUUGGGGCAAAUCCUCCAAAAGUCGUCGUCUUCAAAUGCCAUUAG